rnacentral:rRNA from 1 species
AACGGCCAUACCAUGCUGAAUAUACCGGUUCUCGUUAGAUCACCGAAGUCAAGCAUCAUUGGGCGCGGUCAGUACUUGGAUGGGUGACCACUUGGGAACACCGCGUGCCGUU